rnacentral:rRNA from 1 species
UACGGAGGGUGCAAGCGUUGUCCGGAUUUAUUGGGUUUAAAGGGUGCGUAGGCGGUCUUUUAAGUCAGUGGUGAAAUCCUCCAGCUCAACUGGAGAACUGCCAUUGAUACUGAGACUUGAGUAUAGUUGAGGUAGGCGGAAUUGACAGUGUAGCGGUGAAAUGCAUAGAUAUUGUCAAGAACACCGAUUGCGAAGGCAGCUUACUAAACUAUAACUGACGCUGAGGCACGAAAGUGCGGGGAUCAAACAGG